rnacentral:rRNA from 1 species
UACGUAGGUGGCAAGCGUUGUCCGGAAUUAUUGGGCGUAAAGCGCGCGCAGGCGGCCUUUUAAGUCUGAUGUGAAAGCCCACGGCUCAACCGUGGAAGGUCAUUGGAAACUGAAAGGCUUGAGUACAGAAGAGGAAAGCGGAAUUCCACGUGUAGCGGUGAAAUUCGUAGAUAUUCGGAAGAACACCAGUGGCGAAGGCGGCGACCUGGUCCUUGACUGACGCUGAGGCGCGAAAGCGUGGGGAGCAAACAGG